UCAGUCGACUCCUACGGGAGGCAGCAGUGGGGAAUCUUGGACAAUGGGCGCAAGCCUGAUCCAGCCAUGCCGCGUGAGUGAUGAAGGCCCUAGGGUCGUAAAGCUCUUUCGCCAGGGAUGAUAAUGACACGUACCUGGUAAAGAAACCCCGGCUAACUCCGUGCCAGCAGCCGCGGUAAUACGGAGGGGGUUAGCGUUGUUCGGAAUUACUGGGCGUAAAGCGCGCGUAGGCGGAUUAGUCAGUUAGAGGUGAAAUCCCAGGGCUCAACCCUGGAACUGCCUUUAAUACUGCUAGUCUUGAGUUCGAGAGAGGUGAGUGGAAUUCCGAGUGUAGAGGUGAAAUUCGUAGAUAUUCGGAGGAACACCAGUGGCGAAGGCGGCUCACUGGCUCGAUACUGACGCUGAGGUGCGAAAGUGUGGGGAGCAAACAGGAUUAGAUACCCUGGUAG
rnacentral:rRNA from 1 species